GAUGAACGCUGGCGGCGUGCCUAAUACAUGCAAGUCGAGCGAACAGACGAGAAGCUUGCUCCUCUGACGUUAGCGGCGGACGGGUGAGUAACGCAUGGAUAAUCUACCUAUAAGACUGGGAUCACUUCGGGAAGCCAGAUCUAAUACCAGAUAAUAUAAUGUACCGCAUGAUUCAAUAGAGAAAUGCAGUUUUGCCGUUACUAUUAGAUGGUUCCGCGUCGCAUUAGCUAGUUGGUAAGGUAACGCCUAACCAAGGCGACGAACCGUAGCCGGCCUGAGAGGGUGAUCGGCCACACUGGAACUGAGACACGGUCCAGACCCCUACGGGAGGCAGCAGUAGGGAAUCUUCGGCAAUGGGGGAAAGCCUGCCGGAGCAACGCCGCGUGGGUGAUGAAGGUCUUCGGAUCGUAAACCUCUGUUAUUGGGGAAGAAGAAAUGGAGAAUUAACUAUUCACGUUUUGACGGUACCUAAACAGAAAGCCACGGCUAACUACGUG
rnacentral:rRNA from 1 species